UCACCCAGCAGACACUCACAAAACAGCUACCAUGUGGGGGGUCGGGACGGGCUCGGGGUGGCUGACUUGGGGGAAGCCUUGGCGCAUGUCGUGGAAGGAAGCUCGGAGCUGGGAGUCAUCGCAGAUGUUCAUUGAAUUUCCACUGGCGCUGUUCCGGGUGCUGGAGAUAAAUGAAGAAAACAACAAAGAUCACUGCUCCGGAGGAGCUACAUUCUAGUACAGACGGACAACAGCAGGAAAAAACCCACAUAGAAUAAAACAGAAACAUAAAAUACACCACAUGUCAGUUGAGGACAAGUUGUGGAGAGUGAGCUCGACUUAGGGAUGUGCUUCUGUGAACAGGGCACGGGAGGGGAAGAACUGUGGCGCCAGGUGGAGAGACCUGAUGCCCACUACCUUGGCCGUGUGGUCAAGGUCAGCUUCACAGUGAUGUGUCGUGUUGACACCCGUCUGCUGUGGGGUGAUGAUAAGGAAGCAUCACCUGUGUGGGACCUGCCCCCAAACACGUCACUCUAAUCAUGAGAAAGCACCAUACAGACCCUGACUGAGGGCCAUUUGACAAAAUACCUGACCUGCAGUGCUCUUCAAAAGUGUCAAGGUCACGAAAAGCACACAAAGCCUACUGCUAUGGAUUGAAGCGCUGCACCCCAGAGUGGACCACCUGUCACCUUUCUCCAAGGAAUGAAGUGGGAGUGAGGUGACACCAAGGUGGCAACAGCUACAGACACAAAAGUGUUUUGGCCACUUGGGAGAAUCCAGUAAGAGAGAUCACUUGCCAUUCCUGAUGGUGAUUUUCCAUGAAGACAUGCAGAGUUCAGAUAAACAAACGCCCCUACACACACCCACACUGUUACUCACA